rnacentral:rRNA from 1 species
UAGGGAAUCUUCGGCAAUGGACGGAAGUCUGACCGAGCAACGCCGCGUGAGUGAAGAAGGUUUUCGGAUCGUAAAACUCUGUUGUUAGAGAAGAACAAGUAGGAGAGUAACUGCUCUUACCUUGACGGUAUCUAACCAGAAAGCCACGGCUAACUACGUGCCAGCAGCCGCGGUAAUACGUAGGUGGCAAGCGUUGUCCGGAUUUAUUGGGCGUAAAGCGAGCGCAGGCGGUUUCUUAAGUCUGAUGUGAAAGCCCCCGGCUCAACCGGGGAGGGUCAUUGGAAACUGGGAGACUUGAGUGCAGAAGAGGAGAGUGGAAUUCCAUGUGUAGCGGUGAAAUGCGUAGAUAUAUGGAGGAACACCAGUGGCGAAGGCGACUCUCUGGUCUGUAACUGACGCUGAGGCUCGAAAGCGUGGGGAGCAAACA